rnacentral:rRNA from 1 species
ACGAAGCUUCUUUAUCACCGAGUGCUUGCACUCACCGAUAAAGAGUUGAGUGGCGAACGGGUGAGUAACACGUGGGCAACCUGCCCAAAAGAGGGGGAUAACACUUGGAAACAGGUGCUAAUACCGCAUAACCAUAGUUACCGCAUGGUAACUAUGUAAAAGGUGGCUAUGCUACCGCUUUUGGAUGGGCCCGCGGCGCAUUAGCUAGUUGGUGGGGUAAAGGCUUACCAAGGCAAUGAUGCGUAGCCGAACUGAGAGGUUGAUCGGCCACAUUGGGACUGAGACACGGCCCAAACUCCUACGGGAGGCAGCAGUAGGGAAUCUUCCACAAUGGGCGAAAGCCUGAUGGAGCAACGCCGCGUGGGUGAAGAAGGUCUUCGGAUCGUAAAACCCUGUUGUUAGAGAAGAAAGUGCGUGAGAGUAACUGUCCACGUUUCGACGGUAUCUAACCAGAAAGCCACGGCUAACUACGUGCCAGCAGCCGCGGUAAUACGUAGGUGGCAAGCGUUAUCCGGAUUUAUUGGGCGUAAAGGGAACGCAGGCGGUCUUUUAAGUCUGACGUGAAAGCCUUCGGCUUAACCGGAGUAGUGCAUUGGAAACUGGGAGACUUGAGUGCAGAAGAGGAGAGUGGAACUCCAUGUGUAGCGGUGAAAUGGGGAGAUAUUUGGAGAAACGCCCGUGGCGNNGGCGGCUCUCUGGUCUGUAAAGGAGGCUGGGGUUGAAAGGGGUGGGUAGCAAACAGGAUUAGAUACCUUGGUAGUCCACGCCGUAACGGAUGAAUGCUAAGUGUGGGAGGGUUUCCGCCCUUUCAGUGGUGCAGCUAACGCAAUAAGCAUUCCGCCUGGGGAGUACGACCGCAAGGUUGAAACUCAAAGGAAUUGACGGGGGCCCGCACAAGCGGUGGAGCAUGUGGUUUAAUUCGAAGCAACGCGAAGAACCUUACCAGGUCUUGACAUCUUUUGACAAUCCUAGAGAUAGGACUUUCCCUUCGGGGACAAAAUGACAGGUGGUGCAUGGUUGUCGUCAGCUCGUGUCGUGAGAUGUUGGGUUAAGUCCCGCAACGAGCGCAACCCUUAUUGUUAGUUGCCAGCAUUAAGUUGGGCACUCUAGCAAGACUGCCGGUGACAAACCGGAGGAAGGUGGGGAUGACGUCAAAUCAUCAUGCCCCUUAUGACCUGGGCUACACACGUGCUACAAUGGACGGUACAACGAGUCGCAAGACCGCGAGGUUUAGCAAAUCUCUUAAAGCCGUUCUCAGUUCGGAUUGUAGGCUGCAACUCGCCUACAUGAAGUCGGAAUCGCUAGUAAUCGC